UUCCUGAUGACUCAGGCAGUAAAGAAUCUGUCUGCAAUGCAGGAGACCUGGGUUCAAUCCCUGGUCUGGAAG
rnacentral:tRNA from 1 species